rnacentral:sRNA from 2 species
UAUCUCUCCGUACGGGGAAGGAUGAGAAGCUUCGACUAAGGUUCGAUUCGAGCGAAAGCGAGAAAGCGUUGCCAACGGCAACGACCCGGAGGGCGAAGCGCGCAGCGCUGAGUAAUCCUUCCCCCACCACCA